rnacentral:misc_RNA from 1 species
UCCGGUUUGUCACCGGCAGUCUCCUUAGAGUGCCCUUGCGUAGCAACUAAGGACAAGGGUUGCGCUCGUUGCGGGACUUAACCCAACAUCUCACGACACGAGCUGACGACAGCCAUGCAGCACCUGUGUUGCCGCUCUCUUUCGAGCACCCCCACCUUUCAGCAGGGUUCGGCACAUGUCAAGGGUAGGUAAGGUUUUUCGCGUUGCAUCGAAUUAAUCCACAUCAUCCACCGCUUGUGCGGGUCCCCGUCAAUUCCUUUGAGUUUUAAUCUUGCGACCGUACUCCCCAGGCGGUCGACUUCACGCGUUAGCUGCGUUACCAAGCCAAUGAAGGCCCGACAACUAGUCGACAUCGUUUAGGGCGUGGACUAC